AUGAAUCUCUUGGCCUGGAACUGUCGAGGACUGGGGUUGGACUCGACAGUGGGCGAACUUCGUGACCUGGUACGGUCCCACAACCCAGCGGUGGUGUUCUUGUCGGAAACUAAGAAGAAGUCUAGAGGGAUGGAAAAGCUGAUGUGGAGUUUGGGGUUUAGGUGUGGUGUGGCCGUUGAUUGUCAAGGACUUAGUGGUGGCCUGGCUCUUUGGUGGAGAGAUUUUGUGCAGGUAUCUGUCAGGCCUUAUUGCCAAUAUUUCAUUGAUGUGGAGUUGAGGUUUGAGGAGAAGACCGUUAGAUUCACUGGUUUCUACGGGGAACCGCGCACGGAGCUGAGGAAGAAAUCCUGGGAUGCUAUCAGAUAUCUGAGAGCCCAGGAUAAUCUGCCAUGGAUUUGCGCGGGCGACUUUAAUGAAGCAUUAUUUCAGGCUGAUCAAAUGGGUGGUAAGUGGUAA
rnacentral:rRNA from 1 species